rnacentral:lncRNA from 1 species
GAAGAUUCAAAGGGAAGAGCCUCACAACAAAGGACACCUCGAGGUGCCACCAUUGAAUUGCUGUGCUUAAAACCUGGUGUAUUUUGGCUACAAAAGGUCAAAUCAGCAGAGCUGAUGAAGGCAGCAGCUGAAAUUCCAGUGCAGGUCCCAGUUAACAGCACAAACGUGACUGGGAGCAGCUUCUGCACGAUUCCUUCACCCAAGGAGAGGAACUGAGAACAGCCCAGAGCACAAAGGAGGAGUGGUUUUUGUUCAGGAUGGUUUGUGCUUCUGUUCUCUUGUAGGCUGAGUCGUGCUUUGGGUUAGGGAAGAGCCAUUUCUGGUUGUGCUGAGCAGAUUUUGGAAAUAUUCUGUGUUUUCUGGGUUUUUUUGUUUGUGUUUAUAUCUCUUUAUUGUGUUUCAGCCACCAUGGUUUGUGCCUCUGCUCUCUUGUAGGCUGAAUCCUACUUUGGGUUAGGGAAGAGCUAUUUCUGGUUGUGCUGAGCAGAUUUUGGAAAUAUUCUGUGUUUUCUGUCUGUUGAUGUGUUUUUAUAUCUCUUUACUGUGUUCCAGCCACCACAGUUUCCUUUCUUGCAGUCCCAUUGUGCAGCAGCUCUUCCACAAACCCCUCGGUCUCUGCCUCCCAGUUGGUUUGUUUGAAAAUGAGAUUUCACAAUUGUCAAGUCCCAGAGGAAAUUCUUGGAAAAUAGUCUGGCAAGGAAGAAUAUCCCAACUUUCUCUGGCAAAAAUUGUGAGAUAUUCAUUUAAGAACAUAGAGCUAAAGAAAGUAAGAUUAAAUAUACUGCAAAAGUUGUGUAUUUACUCAGAAUAAUGCUGAUGUUCACAUUCAUAACAAAGGAAUUUGGACUCAAAUAACCCUUGUUGGUCCCUUCCCACUCAGGAUAUUCUAUGAUUUUUAUGACACUAAAAAAUUCAUUUAGCAAAGUGAACAAAAGACUGAAUAAUUUCAGAAGAACUGUG